rnacentral:sRNA from 1 species
CUUCUUCAACAAAACACAGAUCUGUGUCCUGCAAUCCCGUUCCAUGAAGCUAUCUGUUCUCUCGGGAGCAUUUAGUCUGCGUGUGUUUCGGUCGUAUUGCUGGACAGUUCGACGACCCAUGGAGCCAUCCACCUGGUACAAACCGAGUUUCCUCAUGAUGUCAAUUUCCGGUCGACAGAUCUCAGAUGAAGUUUCAGCGCUGGGAUUACACACUCUGCCUUGAGCUUCCUUCGGGUGAGCUCGGUGAGAUGGCCUGGGUCUGCUGGGGGCGUCAUAUUCCAUCUCUCUUUGCCGAUGGCCGUCGGCUGGUGAGGUUAGGGAAAAACCAUGACAGCCAACAUAC